GGGUGACGGGUUCGAUUCCCGGUCGGUCCAGGAUCUUUUCGUAAAGGAAAUUUCCUUGACUUCCUUGGGCAUAGAGUAUCUUCGUGCCUGCCACACGAUAUACACAUGCAAAAAAUGGUCAUUGGCAGAGGAAGCUCUCAGUUAAUAACUGUGGAAGUGCUCAUAGAACACUAAGCUGAGAAGCAGGCUUUGUCCCAGUGAGGACGUUACGCCAAGAAGAGAGAGAGAGAGAUGUAGGGACAGGAAAGAUGGACAACGAGAGGCUUUGGGAGGAGGAUGAGGAUCGUGGGAAGGUCUAUAAAGGGUUUGGAGCACAAGAUCGGGUCUUUUCGACUUGAACCUCCGGAGGAAUAAGAUCGAGUUUUUACAAAUACCAGUGAUUCCAAAGCGAAAGCUUAGUUUAAUUAAAAAGUUACGCUGUGCAUAUAGCAAAUUAGAGUCAGGACCCAUUAGCGUUUUGCUGGGAAACCCUGGUCAUCCAAGAAGGGUAGCGAAGCCCGACCGAGAUACCGGCACGAUCGCCGGUGAAGAUUUACCCAAGCCACCUAGUCGCCAUCUUGGGCCCGAGUUCCCGAGCCCACGCCGAGAAGCAGAGCAUCCCACAUCCCACAUCGAGAUUCCGUCAUCGCUGGCCAGCCUACACAUUACACCCGACACGACACACACACACACCGAAAAA